rnacentral:rRNA from 1 species
UUCGAGUGGCGGACGGGUGAGUAACGCGUGGGUAACCUGCCUUACACAGGGGAGUAACACCUGGAAACAGGUGCUAAUACCGCAUAAGCGCACAGGGCCGCAUGGCCCGGUGUGAAAAACUCCGGUGGUGUAAGAUGGACCCGCGUCUGAUUAGCUUGUUGGCGGGGUAGGGGCCCACCAAGGCGACGAUCAGUAGCCGGCCUGAGAGGGUGGACGGCCACAUUGGGACUGAGACACGGCCCAAACUCCUACGGGAGGCAGCAG